rnacentral:rRNA from 1 species
CGUGAGGGAAAGGUGAAAAGAACCCCGGGAGGGGAGUGAAAUAGAACCUGAAACCCUGCACUUACAAGCUGUGGGAGCACAUUACUUGUGUGACCGCGUACUUUUUGUAGAACGGGCCAACGAGUUACGUUAAGUAGCAAGGUUAAGCACUUAAGGUGUGGAGCCGUAGCGAAAGCGAGUCUUAAAUGGGCGAUUAAGUUACUUGGCGUAGACCCGAAACCGGGCGACCUAUCCAUGAGCAGGUUGAAGCGAAAGUAAAAUUUCGUGGAGGACCGAACCCACGAGCGUUGAAAAGCUCGGGGAUGACUUGUGGAUAGCGGUGAAAUUCCAAUCGAGCCCGGAGAUAGCUGGUUCUCCCCGAAAUAGCUUUAGGGCUAGCCUCAAGCGUAGAGAAACGGAGGUAGAGCACUGAAUGUCCUAGGGGGUAUUGCACUUACCGAAGACUAUCAAACUCCGAAUGCCGUUUUCUUUUACUUGGGAGUCAGACUGUGGGUGAUAAGAUUCAUAGUCAAAAGGGCAACAGCCCAGAUCGUCAGCUAAGGUCCCUAAAUGUACGUUAAGUGGUAAAGGAUGUGGGAUUGCACAGACAACCAGGAUGUUGGCUUAGAAGCAGCCACUCAUUUAAAGAGUGCGUAAUAGCUCACUGGUCGAGUGAUCCUGCGCCGAAAAUUUCCGGGGCUAAAACGUACUACCGAAGCUACGGCAUCAUUUAUGAUGGGUAGGGGAGCUUCGUAUGCAGGCUGAAGCAUGACCGUAAGGACAUGUGGACAGUAUACGAGUGAGAAUGUUGGCAUGAGUAGCGAGACGUGGGUGAGAAUCCCACGGGCCGUAAACCCAAGGUUUCCAGGGGAAGGUUCGUCCGCCCUGGGUUAGUCGGGACCUAAGCCGAGGCCGAAAGGCGUAGGUGAUGGACAACAGGUUGAUAUUCCUGUACCGCCAAUAAGCGUUUGAGAGAUGGAGUGACACAGUAGGAUAAGCUAACCGUACUGUUGGUUAUGUACGGCUAAGCAUUGAGGCAGUCUAAAUAGGCAAAUCCGUUUAGACAAUGCUAGGAUGUGAUGGGGAAGCCCUUCGGGGCGAAGUAGCUGAUUUCACACUGUCAAGAAAAGCUUCUAUCGAGUUUAAAGGCGCCCGUACCGUAAACCGACACAGGUGGGUGAGGAGAGUAUCCUAAGGCCAGCGAGAGAACUAUUGUUAAGGAACUCGGCAAAAUGACCCCGUAACUUAGGGAGAAGGGGUGCCUGUCUAUGACAGGCCGCAGAGAAUAGGCCCAAGCGACUGUUUACCAAAAACACAGGUUUCUGCUAAGUCGCAAGACGAUGUAUAGGAGCUGACGCCUGCCCGGUGCUGGAAGGUUAAGGGGAUCUGUUAGAGCAAUCGAAGCAGUGAACUUAAGCCCCAGUAAACGGCGGCCGUAACUAUAACGGUCCUAAGGUAGCGAAAUUCCUUGUCGGGUAAGUUCCGACCCGCACGAAAGGCGUAACGAUUUGGGCACUGUCUCAACAAUAGACUCGGUGAAAUUGUAAUCCCGGUGAAGAUGCCGGGUACCUGCGACAGGACGGAAAGACCCCAUGGAGCUUUACUGUAGCUUGACGUUGGGUCUUGGUACUACAUGUACAGGAUAGGUGGGAGACUAUGAAGCAUGGACGCCAGUCUGUGUGGAGUCAUCCUUGGGAUACCACCCUUGUAGUACUGGGAUCCUAACCAUAGGCCUUGAAUCAGGUCUUGGAACACCGUCAGGUGGGCAGUUUGACUGGGGCGGUCGCCUCCUAAAAAGUAACGGAGGCGCUCAAAGGUUUCCUCAGCACGGUCGGAAAUCGUGCGAAGAGUGUAAAGGCAAAAGGAAGCUUGAUUGCAAGACAUACAGGUCGAGCAAGGACGAAAGUCGGACUUAGUGAUCCGGUGGUACCGCAUGGAAGGGCCAUCGCUCAACGGAUAAAAGCUACCCUGGGGAUAACAGGCUUAUCUCCCCCAAGAGUCCACAUCGACGGGGAGGUUUGGCA